GCAACCGACCGAGCAGCAUCCCAUAACCAACUCUGGCCCUUCCCCCUCCCGAAGUGUUCCCACGGCGACCACCCCCGCCCCAUCCAAUCCGAGCGGGACGGCCCGUCAGAUCCAAAGCGCCGUGGGAGGAGCCAAACCAGGCACUCUGCCCGCCAACUUGGAUGAGUUCAAAGUUGCCGAGUUGAAACAGGAAUUGAAAUUGCGUGGUUUGACCGUCUCGGGCACCAAGAACGAUCUUAUUGAGAGGCUUCGCAACUACCAGGAGCAAAAUGGCGGCACUGCAGCGGUUUCUAAAAAAAAACGGCAACCCGCAGGGCGCCAUCUCAGCUGCUGGCACCUCCACAUCCUCCCCAACCACGACCACCACCUCUGACCACCAAUCAGGAGAGGGCGGCUUUAAGUUGGAUUUGUCGUCAUUGGCUCAGGUGAUUCCCGGGCGCGUCAUGCGAUUCGGCAGCACCAGCUCCAGCCCCCCCCAUGUCACCUACUCCCUCCGAGAGGUCGUUGGCCGGGAUGAGUCCGGAUGAGACCAGCUGUAAUGGAGACAUGUUUGGAGAGAUGGUGAGCUCCCCCCCUGACCCAGCUCACCCUGCACCCUUCUCCCCAGCACCCAUCCAACAUCUCUCAGCUCUCCAUGGUCAAAGAGGAGAUGCAGAGCUCAUGCAGUCUCUCCAGGAGCUCACCCGCCGCGUGUCAGCCUCCAGAGCCGCUGUCUGCAGUGGCCAUGGACACAUCCUCUUUGGAAAAGGACCAGAUGCUCCAGGAGAAGGACAAACAGAUCGAGGAGUUGACCAGGAUGCUGAGGCAGAAGCAGAGGCUGGUGGAGACCCUCCGGUCCCAGCUGGAACAUGGCAAGAUGACUAGUGGAGUCGUGCUGAAGAGGGAAGAAAGUGAGAAGAGCAGAACCCCCGAGGUUAAACUUCCAACUCUAAUCAAAGCGUCUGCCGUUCAGCCCCCCCUCUCUGACCAACGGCAUCGCGGUGACGGUGAAGAAGGAGAUGGAGCCUGAGGAGGGGAUGGAGGGAGUGACGGAGGCGCUCCAGGUGAGGAGAGCCGCCCCGUCGAUGCAGUGCUCCCAGGACACUCUCCUCAGGCUGCAGCAGAGUCAUCGGCUGCAGCUGCAACAAGCCGAGCAGGAGAAAGAGUCACAGCAGCAGAGCCAGGAGCAACCACACAAGGCGGCAGAGGCCUCGUCGAACGCUCAGAAGCUGCAGCUGCAGCAGAAGAAAGAAGCCCAGAUCCUGCUCCAUCAGCAGAAGCAGCUGCAGCAACUUAUCAUACAGCAAACCCAACAGAAACAGCAGAGGCUAGUGCAGCAGAGGCUCAGUCAGCAGAAGCUGGUGCAGCAGCACCAGCUGAAACAAACUCAAGUUCAACAAAGCCAACAGAAGAACCCGGUCCAGGUCAAGCAAGUUCUGCAGAUCCAGAGGCCUGCAGCGAACCAAAGCCAGCAGAGGAAGCAGCUGAGGGCUCAGCAGCGGCAGCAGGAGAGGCAGCAAGCGGCAGCUGUCACCACACAGCAGGUGACCCCAGUCUUUAUUAACCAACAGAACGGUACUCAGGCCCAAACUCAGGCCCUUUCAUUAGACCUCCUCAAGGCUAACGGGACCCCAACACUGGUCACCGAUAGCAACGGAAACCACUACCUGAUUGCUCUGACCAGUCCCCCCGCAGAUGGACAGAACGGAGUUUCCUCAUUGGCCAAAGCCAACGGACGCAUCACACUGCAGAGGCUGCAAUCGAGUCCGAGUAAAGUCCUCAGCAGUGGGAGCCAAUCAAAGGAGCCAGCAGUGGCUGAGCCAAUCAAAAAGGGACAGAAGGCAGGGCUGCACCUGGACACCAAUGGCGUACCUCCACCCUGCCCGUCGGUCACCGCUCCGCCCAAUCUGCAUCCUUUCUUUGAAGACAUGUCGGACAGUGAAAGCCAGAGUAACUUAAUGUCAUCGCUUAAGAGAGAGGUGUGUCUGCCUUACGACCGGCACACACUGUUCACCCCUCCCUCUCCCAAACCCAACACCUCCCUUCCUACUCAACGCUCCAAAGAGAACGGCGUCAACAGUCAGCAAAUGGACGACCUGUUUGACAUCCUGCUGAAGAGCGGAGAACUCCCCGGCUUUAAGUCCAACCCGGACCCUUCCCUCGCCCCCCCUCCACUCUGA
ensembl:lncRNA